rnacentral:rRNA from 1 species
GACACGCUGGCGGCGUGCCUCAAACAUGCAAGUCGAGCGGACGGAGACCGAACCGCAAGGGGAGGUCGAAGUUAGCGGCGAACGGGUGAGUAACACGUGGGUAACCUACCCUAAAGUCUGGGACAACGGCCCGAAAGGGCCGCUAAUACCGGAUAAUGUCUUCGGGUCGCAUGGCCUGGGGAAGAAAGCCGAAAGGCGCUUAUGGAUGGGCUCGCGUCCCAUCAGCUAGUUGGUAAGGUAACGGCUUACCAAGGCGACGACGGGUAGCUGGUCUGAGAGGAUGGUCGGCCACACUGGGACUGAGAUACGGCCCAGACUCCUACGGGAGGCAGCAGUUGGGAAUAUUGGGCAAUGGGCGAAAGCCUGACCCAGCGACGCCGCGUGAGGGAAGAAGGCCUUCGGGUCGUAAACCUCUGUCAUCGGGGACGAAGAAAGUGACGGUACCCGAGGAGGAAGCCCCUGCUAACUACGUG